CCAUUUUAUGGGCUGUCUGUCUGCUCAGCUGUUAGUUUCUUUGGCUAUCCGGAAACCUUCUAUUUUCAGAUAGUCCCGUCUGUGGACUCUUGAGCCUAGCUCCUUUGAUAAUGGAGUCUAAGCCAAUGUCCUGGGGAAUAUUCUCUGUUUUUCUUUAGCAAUGCCAGCAUUUUAGGUUUUUAAGGUAAGUUCUUUGGUCUGCUUCUAGCUCAGUGUGUGCAGGGUUAAUGGUAUGUCUCUCGUUUCGUUCUUCUACAGGUGGGCAGCCAGCAACAUUUGUUGAAUAAACCACUUUCUGCCCCUCUGCAGAUUCGAACCACCGUCAUCAGACAUAACCAGUCAUAGCUUCGCUGGUUUGUUUCAGGUUCUCCGUUCUGUUCCACUGCUCUGCCUGUCUGUUUUUACGGCAGUCCAAGGAAGUCUGUCGUCACCGUGGCGCUGUCACGUGAUUGGACGUUAGUUAAGAUAUUGUGAUAUCCGAUCUCUGUAGGAUUGCUUCGUCUACUUGUAGUCUUUUCUGUUCCAUAGAAGGUUUUGAAUUGUCAUUUUUAUUUCCCUAGUUCUCUCAAGGAUGACAUUGGAAUUUUGAAAGAUAUUGCAUCGAAUCUGAAGGUUGACUUUGGCAGUGUACCCAUUUUCAUGAUGUUAAUUCUACCAACCAAGGAGCAAGAACGGUCUUUCUUUCAUCUACUGGGGUAGCAUAUACCUUUACCUUCAUCACUUCUGCUCUAGAUAUUGUGACCACCACUCUUGAGUCUCACGUCCGUCUGUCUCUCUUAAUCUAGCAGCAGUAUCAUAGUUGCAUAGCACCAACUGUGUAUUAAGCCCUGCUUGUAUUAAGUCGCACGAAUACCACGGCAGCCCUAUAAAAUAAAAGCAGUGCCAUGAUCAUGUCUUAGUGGGCUGAAACUGGGGCUGCAGGCUAAGCAUACGCUUCCUGUCACUCAGCUAAUAAAGAGGGUUCGACGUCAACCUAUCCAGCCCCAUCCUUAUAUCUUUGGAUGAUGGCAGUCCUUGCUGAGGAAGAGCUUGAGGGUUGAGAGCCUGGAGCAUCAGCUCAGUGAGUCAAAUGCUUGCUGUGCAAGCAUCAAGACCUGUAUGUGGAUGCUUGCCCUUCACAUCAAAGCCAGGUAUGUGGUUGUCAAGAUGGCUGGUGGAAUAACGACACUUGCAGCCAAGCCUGAUGACUGGAGUUCAGCCUCCAGAUUCACAUGGUAGGCUAGGGGAGGUGUUCCCACCAACUCUACUUUUCCCAUAUAAUAUAUUUUGAUCAUAUUCUUCUCCCUCCUCCACUUCCUUCAAGAUCCUUCCACUUCCUACGCACCCAAGAUCAUGCUCUUUCUCUUUAAAAAAAAAAUAAAAGACUAAAAAUCAAACUAAGCCAACAAGCAGAAAGCACAAAACAUCAACAAAAAUAACCCCACACAACACAUUGAAUCCAUUUUCUGCUAUUUAACUACUCCUCAGCCUCAGCUCUGCCACGAAGUAUAGUGGAGAUAACCAGGGUCACUCGAUUGGAAAAACAACAAUAACAAACAAAACUGAACUUCCUCUCCCAGCAGCUAUCCAUUGCAAACAGCUUCCUAGUUAGGAGUGGAACUUUGUUCCCGCUUAGCAUCUUCGUGGAAGAAUUUUGUCCGUCUUGACUUUGUAUAGGUCUUGUGUGAGUUGCCAUAGCCUCUGUGAGCUUGGUGGUGUCUACAGAAUCCCUGGAGUCGUCCACCACCACUUACUCUUAGGACCUUCCCGCCUCCCCUUGCAUUUCAGGUAGCAUAAGUACAUGUUGUAUUUAGCAUCUCCACCAAGUCUUAUUCAGCUCUGGACACUGAUGAUUUCCACAGAGAUGUACUUCUCUUGAAUGUACACAAUCUGAGCAUCCCUUUGACCAGAAUGUCUUCCUGAAUGGCUACAGUUCAGUCUGCCGUUCUCUUUCUCCAAUUCCUUCUACUUCCUUUUUUCUCUGUGUUUCUAUCAGAGCCCAAUGUAAUGGUGCAUUGGAUUGAGGCCAAAAUUUACAUCUCCUGGGAGGCUGCUAUUAGGGAUUGUAAGCAAUUAAUAGUGAUUUCUAGAAUGAUUUGUUUACCUCCUAAAGAUUCUAUUGCAACUCAUACUCACAGUAUAUGUGGUUAUUAGCUCUUUUGGAUGUUGAAGGUGAGGAGAAUAUUGAAUGUGUGCAGUAGAAAACUUUGAGGAGGGUUUAUUUGCAAGGGGAAACUGCACAGUCUGAGACCCUGUCAGGAUUCAGAACCUCAGGCCAGCAUCAAAGUAAUAUCAACCUCAGUCUCAGACGGGUGUCCAGAAAGCCCUUUGGAGAGGGUGGCAGGUGAAGAACGGGAGAAGCUGAGUGGAUUUUUGAACUGGCCAGGGUCCCAGCUCUAACUUAGUCUGGUCAACACUGUUACAACUUACACGUGUCAAGGUCCUGCUGUGACUAGGCAAGGGCCCCAAUCAAGGUAUCUGAAGAAGUCACUGUUUUUAAAAAAGGCUACAAUGUCUUACUCUGGAGGACUGCAGGGAAGGCUUAGCACAUGUGAGAUUUCUGAAACAGAUCCUUUACUAGUUCAAUGUUGUGCUUAUAGAUUAUGUCAGCUUUAGAUCAAGGAGAGCUUACAAAUCCUUUAGAGUGACUUUGCUUAUCUCUCCCAACAGGGCUCAGGGAUAAGCAGCCCCGGACCUGAAUUCUUCCAACAUCCCUCCACCUCCAGUGUGUGAGCUCAUUUCUCUUCAAUUCAUGAUUACUUAUUUUGAAAAACAUUCUUAGAGAAGUUUACAUCACUUAAAAGACAAAACUAAAAAUGCCAUAUCGCUUUCAAGUUUAUAAACAGAAAGUACUUUUUCCCGGUUUGUUUGGCUCGCAUGAUGUUUUGAUGAGGCCAGACCCACAAGAGGACAAAUGGUUUUUGGAGAGAACACGAGUAGAACUCAACGGACAUCGAGGGGUGCCUGUGUAACCAGCUUUGUUGGUCUCUCAUCUUCAGCGAUCCUCACUGUGUUGAAAGAGGCGUGGCAAAGAAGUCCUGGCAUUCCCGCUGGUCCUGGUCACUCCAGUGUGUGGACUCAGUGGAGGCCUGGCAGUUUCUGAUGGAUCGUGCCACCACUGCCGAUUUGUGUUUGGUGUUCAGUGACACUUGAGUGAGAUUGUUGGUAUCCUGCCAUUACUGAGCUGGAUUGAUGGUAUCCUGGGAACAGAGAUUGGAAUUGCCCCCAAAGAGCUACUUUAAAACAGGUCUACAUUCCCCUUUUUACUGUCUUUUCUCCCCUAGCUUUGGACUAGAAGGGAGGGGGGGUCAAAGUGUUUGAGAACCUUUAUUAAAGUAAGUCCUGAAAAAGCUAAGCCUA